AAAUGUACAUGUGUUUAUUUACUGCAUUAUAACUGCAACAUCAAAUACAACUAUAUUUUCAUUUCAAAAAAGGACACAUGCAAUAAAAUACUAUGAUUUUAUAAUCCAAUGCAACACAGUUCAUUGGUAACACUGAAGCGUCACAGAACAGGCAAGGGCUUGGGGUGAUGAAUUUCCAGUCUCUUGAUCCUACUUGCAAACAGCAAAGUCACAUCAUAUUUUAUUUGUCAUCAAGGGAUAAACUUUUGGAAUAAUGUGGCUGGAUCACAAAAGGUCCCAGCUGCCCCUUAACUCUCCUAUGAGUCUUGAAGAAUCAGAUUUUUUUUUUACUUGGGAAAUAUUAUGCUUUGACAAAGAUGAAGAAUAGACAGUAUUUUCCAAGCAGAGAGCAGAAACCCUUCCAUGUUAUACCACAGCUGAGGUACAAAACAAGGGCCUCUGCUUCACAGGUGCAAACAAGCCAAGGCUGUGAGUUACUUUAACUAUUGCUCUGAAGAAUGAAAUCAAGCCAUUUUCUGCAAUAUUUCACUGCAGCUUUCUAUUAUGUUCAUCUGCUCAUGGGGCUUCAAUCAAUUUAAUCUGGCAUUUCAGCUAUGGAAUAAAUCCACAAUACACAGGAGGAGUCUACAGCUCAGAAAAGAAAGUUGUCCUGAAAUACUCAAAUCAUAGUCUCUUAACUACUUAAAAUGCAAUGUUCUUCAUUAGAAAAGGUCCUUAUUCUAUCAUGCUAGGCACACACCACAGGCUCUUAUUUUUAAUAUUUCCCAUGAAGUUUCAUGGGACUAAUUUUCAGAUAAGGUUCUAAACAAUGUAAAAAAAAAAUACAGACUCAGGGCCCAAGAUGGUACCAUUUCUAGAAUCAACUCUCCUGCUUUCACCUGGCACUUUUAGGCAGUGUGACAUAACGCCGUCCAGCUUUUCAAAACAAUGACCUGAUUUCUUUUUGUACAUCUUGCAUGGCAUAACACCCAGGAUGACUUAGCUCCAACAAUUUACAUAAAACAUAAAGUCAGUCUUUUAAUGCAGCUGCGUUUUUACAUAAUUUCACAGAGCUUACAGCUUUUUUUACAGAAGCUUACAGCUUUUUGAGCUAAUUCUAGCAAACAGGAAGAUUUAUCUAUGAAAACAAAGAGUUCCAAAAGUACAUGGAAAUCUGUAGAGCAAAAUAUAUAUCUCUAUAUAAUUUCCCAACACAAGCAAUAGGCAGUUUAGAAAAAUAUGAUUGUUACAGUCUUUCUGAACCAGAAAAGAAAGAAUUUAAAAAAUAAGUUCAGCUUUUCACAAAGCCAUAUAUUUAAUAAGAAAAUAGAGUGGUCCACAUUUCCCUGAAUAAGCCUGAAAGGUUAAAGAAAGGUCCAAGCAAAGCAAGGAGUUGGACCUGGACUUGAUAUCAGCUGUGAUAACAUGCACAUGUCCAGAGACAGCUGCUUGGCUCCAGUAUUGUUUACCUUAGAAACGAGCCUAAUUUAUCAAAAUUUUAUUCAAAAAUCAUAAAUAACAUGACAAAAGUGGAACUGGUCCCCGCAAGGCAAAUAAUUAUAUUCAUACAAGCAAAAAGUGAAAUCAAUCCAGUUAUUUCCUUGUGACAGUUAAAAGGUAUUUUGUACCCAACUGUUACAUUGUACAGCACAUGUAUAAACACAGAUUAUUAUUGCAGACUUUGCUAUCAGCUACUAUACAUAAACUAGAAGAGAUGUGCAUGCUGUAAUUGCCUCUAAGGUUUUUGUUCUACUUGAAUAUUAACAUUUACAAAAGCUGAAGUGGAGACCUGAAUUCAAGCCAGGAUUUCAACAUGCACAAUGACAGGGUUCACAGGAAGGCUUCAGAUCCUCCCCAUUACUGACAUUUGGAAGUGGAUAGGAGCCGUGAAGAAUUUUAAAACCAUUCACAAUAUUAAUUUCUCUUGUAAACAGCCUUUGGUUUUCCCUGUGCCCACAGGCAGGUGAUCUAACAUGGGACAUGCUGCUGAAAUUUAGAUUCAUAUCAAUAAACUUUCUGUUAAGGAGAAUUCACACGUUAGUUUCAGAUGACUUCUAAAAGAAAGCGGGAAAAUGUACCUCAGUAUUUUCUGAUUUUUAAAUUAAAAGCAGAGAACAGUUUGAUUGCAGAACUUUGCUCCAGGCUGUUCUUAUUAACUAUUUAAUUUAUCAGUUAGAAGUUAUUAAUUCUGUUCAAUGUGAGAGCAAAUCCCUUCAUUUUGUCGUAAUGUUUGUGAAAUUUAUGGGAUAUUUACUCACCCUAUAUGGGAGUCUUAGCACGUUUCUUUAAACUUUCUUCUAGCUUGAAACUAAACAAAAGCACAAAAACUGAUGGAAGCAAGAUUGAUGGAGUGUUGGUGAAGGAAUCCAAAACUGUUUAAAAUCCAGGCUUAUGAAUUAAAUUGGGCCCAAGACAGCCCACUGCUGUGAGGAGUGAGGAGCCCUGCAGGAACAUGGACAUGGGUUAUAUUGCCAGUAAACAACAAUGCAGCUUCUACCUCCUACCACUUUUCAGUGUCAAUGGAGAGCUAUGUCUCACAAAAGGCAACGACAGAAAAAUGCAACGCCUGCAUUAUUGCUUGUGUAAUCGCUUCACAGUGGUCCAGUACAGUCAAGUAAACAAAAGAGAAGGAGGUGUGCUGCUGAAAGGGAAGCUCUGAGGCUGGGCAGAUGGAGUGUGCCCUCCUGGAAUCACCUGAUAAACUCAAUUAACAUAAAUUAAAAGGGAAAAAACAUUGAAAAACUCGCACUGAUCAAAGGGAAAACAUGUACUGUGCCAAAAUUACCACCAGGAUCGUGGAGCAAGACAAAGGUGUGUCCUUUGCCUUCCAGUCAAUCAUGUGCAAAAUGCAGGCUGCAGUUUGAGGACAGACACACACCUAGCACAUGCAAACACCUUCAGGAACAGCCAGUGUUCAAGCAAUGCCUCCCAGGUUAAAUUCUUACAGGGUUUGAUCUGGGAAUGUGCUGGAAAAAUCAUCUUGGGUGCUUUUCACCCUAGAGACUGAAAACCAAACUCAAAGCUUAUUAAAUCUCAUCAAAGCUCAUUACAACAUGUACCUCUAAACACUUCCAGCUUCCCUUUAAGACAUGGUUUCUCUUAAAAGCUGCACCUAAAAGUUACAUUGAAGUGGAAUGUCACCUUUCUUUGAGUAGAGCAAUAAUUACGCUCCCCAUUACAUAUAUACACACACACACACACACAUAUAUAUAUAUAUGUACAUACAAAUAUAUAUAUAUAUUUCAUGGCAACAGAAAGUACCAUACAGAGGCAUUCAUUCAUAUCUGCAGUGAAACAAAGCCUGUGGUGUUCAGUGCUUAUUAGACUUGACAAAAGAAAUAUUUUGAUUUAGGUGGGAAUCACUUCAGGAGAAAUAACAACUCCUACCCCCAGUUCCAGCGGGAGGCCUCCCAGCAAAGUGCUGCUGAGGGCGGUGGCACUGCUCUCCAAACUCACCUCUCCCUUUUAACACACAGCUUUUCAUGGAGCAAAAAGGAGCUAAAAUAAAUGGCUUGCUAUAGGGCUUGAUAAAUGAGUUGUGAAAUCAGUUUGUUAAAAGCGAUCAUUUUAGCUGGCUUUUUUUUUUUCCUCCCAGGUCAGAAAAAAGGGGUUCUGGCUUAUUUAGGGUGUGUGACAAUGACAGUGGAGCACUCCUGGCAGCUCAAGGGCACAGGCCCUGGCUGAGCAGCACCUGGGAGCUCUUACCCCAUCAGUGACAAUGUGAGGCAACAGAGCUUCAGCUGAACCACCAGCCCUCUGUGCUGACUGAAGGGCAAUUUUCUGCACACAGAAAUUGGAUUACACAUCAAAACCUGCUUAGAGAGGAGAAGACAAAAAGGCUCUGGGCAGGCUAUGUACAAUGCUAAUAGCAAGGCUUUCAUUAUUAAUAAUUGUUUGUUAAGUGACACCCUCACACUCCUGUCUGCAGAUGUGACUAUUAAGGGCAGUCCCUGAGCCAAAACUGAAGGCAGAUGUGGGCAGGACAUGACCAGGAGACUUAGAAGAAAUGGCUGGCUAGGACUAGAGUCCCCCCAGAUAGUGCUGAAGGCUGGUUUGACACAGGGGACAGCAGAAACAGACAGAGCAUCUGCAGGAGGAACUACAAUGGGGGAAGAAAUUACUGGAUUUUAAACUUGCUGAAACAGGACCAGGUUUUUUGCUCUAGUUUUUGAAGAAGAACAGCCACUGGAAACACCUAAGGUGAUAGGAAUAGCCUAGGCUGUGGAAGAACUGCACCAGGAAAAGAAGAAUAAAAUAUUGGGAUAAUUUACUUUGGAAAUGAAGCAAAGCCAAAUCUCCUCUGCUCUCAUAAAAGAAGGAAACACAAAACAUGGCCUGGAAAGGGUGCUGGUCUUUCUGCUUCCUUGGAUUUAAAACAAAGUGGCCAAAAGAAGGAAAAUCAAACCUUGCCCAUUCCACAGACAAAAGGUUUCUGAUCCAAAACUAGUUCAGGGGAAUACCUUUAUCACACAACUUGGAAAAAUGUGGAACUUGCUGGGGUAAAUGGCUCUGAAGCCAGAAAGCCACUAGCAUUCAGUAAGGCACUGAAUAGGCCUGCCCCCAAAAUCCAGAAGACUAAAGACAACACCUGACAUUUAUUUUAAAAGGAACAGAAAAAGUCCCACCUCACUUCUACAAUGCAUUUCUGUCUCCUGAGGAUUGAACAGAGACCAUCAUGACUAGCUUUCCAUCUAUAAUAUCAUUUCCUGUAUCUUUUCCUGGAGCAUCAGCACCCACCACCUACCAUUAACCUGUCACUGAGGGGUUUUAAUUUAGCAGUUUCUUCUGUAUUUAAUGAAGAGAAAAAAACCCUUCCAGAACUCAAAUCUCAGCUCGAGUGAAUCACCCUGAGGGAAGCCUCCUUCCACAGUCAGGAACAUGAAACCGAGCUGUGCUGAUGGCUGCUCUCAGAAUUCUGUCUGGCAGGGUGGGAUGGCAUAGCCCUUGUUCCUGUGUCAUUAGUGCUGGACUGCUCUCAUUGUGCCAGACCUCAGAGUUCCUCUUGCAUGGAAAUAUCAGGCUGCCUUUGGAAGAACUGAUGUUUUCUGCUGCUUCCACUGGGAUGCUGCACCUUCAGCUGUGCAGUUUCACCUUACCCACACUUUACUAGGAGGAGGGUUUUUAUCUCACAGGUACAACAACAAAAUCUGGCAUUUGCUGAAGCAGGUUGGAGAAUAGAAGUGCCUUUUAGGCUACAGUUUGAACUGGUAUAUUCCUGAUAUAUAUUCCCUUUUCCCAAGAUCUACUGAUAACUCUCUGGUAGACACAUAUUCAUAUAUUAAAUUGGAUAGAAAAGCAAUAAUAAAAAAUCCAACUGUGUGACAGAUUAUUCCCUCCUACUUUGCUUUUUGGGGUUUUUCUACUUGGUGGUUGUUUUUUUUUUUUUUUUUUUUAAUUCAAAAAUCCUUGUUUUGUUUUUUUACCAAGUGUAACACGAUCCCACAAUUCUUAAAUGGACAAGUCAAAAUGCCUCAUGCCUAAAAUGUCCUGCAGUUACCCAACACCUCAACUAACCUGCUCAUAUUCCAGUAUAUACAACACAUAUAUUUUUUUAAAUAUGGCAAAAGUAAUACGAUUAAUUUCUCAAUGAAUCACGUUGUCUGCACAAGAAAUAUUACUUUUAGUAUUUUAAUAAAUUGGUUUCUGAGAGUUGCCAACCUCUGACAGAGAAAUUAAUGCAAUAAACUUGUAAUGGCUCAGAGUAGGUCAGUGGUCUGGGAGCUGCUGAGAACAUCCUCAAUAGCCCCCAGCAAUUCUGGAAGAAGUUGGUAUAAAUUCUCUGGACAAAUGUGUUUUCAGCUGCACCCUAGCAGGUGAUACUGUCCAUGAGCUAGUAAACUCUCCAAAACUCUUACACCCAGCUGGGUACAUAACCUAUGAAAGAUGUCUAUGAUGCCUGGAAAAGACAUGUUUAUUGGGGCUUUUAUACCAGCAUUUCUUGAAAGGCAAAACUAUUUUUCCAGUUUUCUAUGGUGGACAAUUUAGUUUCAGUCUGUAAUAUUCAGUUAUUCCAAAAGGUUAUGUUUGGUGUGGGAAUCUCUGUCACACAGCAGUUUUGGUUGGUUUUUUUCCCUAAAGAAAAGAGGACAAUGUACUCUCUUGUGUUGACACAAGUUAGAAGAAUCAUUGCACAUGAACUCACUGUUCAAAUCUCUUUAGUGCUAAAGAGAUGUGUAUACACACACAUCAAAGUAAACUAUUCCCUAUUUAAUAUUGAAAAGGAGAUCAGAUAUAGCAAACUCCUGAGGUUUAGAGCAACUAAAGAGAAAACUUCUGAUGUUCAGAGAUCACCAUCUGUCUGUCUAGGAAUGGCCAAUUUUUGGUGAGAUUUCUUCUCUCCAAGAUCUACAAAUACUCCAACAAAAGGGAUUAAGGAGAAGCAUAGAGCCAUUCUAAAAGCUGUCCAAAUUAUUCAGUGAUCACUAGGUGGUUUUAUUAGUUAGCCUAGUAGCUUUAUUUACAGCCUCAAAUAUUUGAGUUUCCUAAGUCUCUGGAUCAGUACAAAUAGAGUAGCUUUUGGGAGAAGUCAGGACUGCUUUGGAGAUCGAGUGCUAGCAAAGGAAUAGAACAUUUUCAAUGUACAGAGAUUUCUGGAGAGGCCAUUUAAAAAUAAUAUUUAAUACCAUUUAAAUUGCUGGCUAGAAUCAGAGAAAAGGCUGUUUAAUAGACAUAGGGCACAAUAGCAAUUUUCUACCUCAAUGUAUUGCUGCCAUGAAAAAUUCUCUGGAAAGCAUCAGGCUUCAAAUCAAUUACAGUUUACAAAUGAGGCUUGCUUUCAUGCCAAAGGCUGGAUUUGGAGUGUGCCUUUGGAUAAGGCCUUACUGCAAAGCAUGGGCAAUGGAGUGCAGGAUUUUGCCCUCAGCACGCCAGGGUCAUUCAUGUGCUCCAGCAGCUCCUGGGUCCAAGGGUGCAGGAAGAGCUCAGACAGAGCUCUGUGAACAGGCUGGGUGUGUGCAGGGAGGGCAGGCCAGGUGCACAAACCACUCACCACCCCAAACAUACUCCUUAAGGUUCAGAGGGUUUUAGCACCCUUUGACUGUGCUCACAUCUACACUGGGGCAAAACAGUGAAAGUCCUCAGCUGCAGACACAUCCAGGCUUCUGUGCAUCCCAUGUUUUGGCAAGGGAAGGCUUAAGGCAGUGGCCCCAGUCUGAACUUGGGCUAUAACACAUCUCAGUUACAUCUGGAUGUCAGAGAUGUACGAGCUGGGGAUUUUAUAGGCACAAAAGUGAGCACAUAACCACCAAAUCAUCUGUGAGCAAAGACAAGGAACUGUGCUCAAGAUUUUAAGGACUGGUUUGGAAACCAGUCCUUAAAAACUAAAUCCUUUGGAUUUAGUUUAUUUUUUGAGGAAUCUGAUCUUUGUACAGUUUCCUGGAAGCUGGACUCAUUAUUCCAAUUACUGACUUGAUUGAUAUUUACACACACUUCCAGAAAUCAGUAUUGCAAGCUUUUCAGAAAACAAAAAACCACAAGAGAAUAAAAAAGAAAGUAAAUUUUGUUUUUACAUCUCCAGAUUACUUUUGUAAUUUUUUCUUUCUUUCUUUCCCAGAAGAAUCUCAUGCCUGCCUUGGAGAGGUGAGGUAAAUGACAUUAUGGAAGACUUAAAUUUUUUUUAGUGAUAUGAACAUUAAAGUCCUGUGCUUUGGAUAGUUUUCAUUGCAAAGAAGUAGAAAUACUCAUCAUUUCUGUGAGAUAUUCAGAUUAUUUAAGUUAAUGAGAAUGGAUUGACUGAGAUUUAAAGCAAAACUUUCCAAGAUUACAGACAGGGGACUUACAGAAUAAACUGAUUGCAAACCCAGCAGCAAAGGUAAGUUUCUAAUUUAGUUGUUUGGUUCUUUUUUUUUAAACCUGCCACCACACUGAAACAUCAAGGUGAUGAUGCAGUUGUUCUUGUAAGUUCCUCUGUGCAGAAUUUUUUUCUCCCUGUGACACACUCCCACGGUGUCAAAUGCAUUUGUGAACCCAUAUAAAACACCCAGAUCAGAAAGGCUCAGCACAAAUAAAUCUGAUGUGAGAUUUUGGGCUUUCAUAGAAAAAACUUUUCUAUUUCCCUACUAACUUCCAUUUGCAGCUUUAUUAUUCCUCAUUAUUUUUACUUUCUCACUGGUAUUUUACUUUCAUCAGCUCAGCAAAACCCAGAGAACUGCAAUGUAGCUGCAUCACAGAAAGGUGUGUGCACACCUACACACAUCCACAACCACACAGAGUGGGUUUUGCUGCUGCCCCUCUUCCCCCACACUUCUUUUCUAAAGGAGGAUUUAAUUUGACAUGGAGAUGCGUGUGAUGAUUAACUCCCUGCUGGGCAGCCACAGGGGUUUCUUCCCCCAGGGCUAGCAGCAAUUUUUAGAGGAAUGUGCAUGGCACUUGCACAGCUAAUCGGGAGAGGAGGAGGUAGGUCCUCUGCCACCAGGAAGAAUGGCUGCAAAGAAGGAAUUAAUAUGCCCCAUUCUCUGGCAAAUUAUAGCUCCCCUCCUUCUGCCUCCUUCAUGAAAGAAAUCACAGGCCUGU
rnacentral:lncRNA from 1 species